GACGAACGCUGGCGGCGUGCCUAAUACAUGCAAGUAGAACGCUGAAAGAGGAGCUUGCUUCUCCGGAUGAGUUGCGAACGGGUGAGUAACGCGUAGGUAACCUGCCUGGUAGCGGGGGAUAACUAUUGGAAACGAUAGCUAAUACCGCAUAAGAGUAGAUGUCGCAUGACAUUUGCUUAAAAGGUGCAACUGCACCACUACCAGAUGGACCUGCGUUGUAUUAGCUAGUUGGUGAGGUAACGGCUCACCAAGGCAACGAUACAUAGCCGACCUGAGAGGGUGAUCGGCCACACUGGGACUGAGACACGGCCCAGACUCCUACGGGAGGCAGCAGUAGGGAAUCUUCGGCAAUGGACGGAAGUCUGACCGAGCAACGCCGCGUGAGUGAAGAAGGGUUUCGGAUCGUAAAGCUCUGUUGUAAGAGAAGAACGAGUGUGAGAGUGGAAAGUUCACACUGUGACGGUAUCUUACCAGAAAGGGACGGCUAACUACGUG
rnacentral:rRNA from 1 species